rnacentral:rRNA from 1 species
AUUGAACGCUGGCGGCAUGCUUUACACAUGCAAGUCGAACGGUAACAGGCCGCAAGGUGCUGACGAGUGGCGAACGGGUGAGUAAUGCAUCGGAACGUGCCCAGUCGUGGGGGAUAACGCAGCGAAAGCUGCGCUAAUACCGCAUGCGAUCUAUGGAUGAAAGCGGGGGACCGUAAGGCCUCCCGCGAUUGGAGCGGCCGAUGUCAGAUUAGGUAGUUGGUGGGGUAAAGGCGCCCCAAGCCAACGAUCGGUGGCUGGUCUGAGAGGACGACAAGCCACACGGGGACUGAGACACGGCCCAGACUCCUACGGGAGGCAGCAGUGGGGAAUUUUGGACAAUGGGCGCAAGCCUGAUCCAGCAAUGCCGCGUGCAGGAAGAAGGCCUUCGGGUUGUAAACUGCUUUUGUACGGAACGAAACGGUCCUGGUUAAUACCUGGGGCUAAUGACGGUACCGUAAGAAUAAGCACCGGCUAACUACGUGCCAGCCGCCGCCGUAACAC